rnacentral:lncRNA from 1 species
AGCAAAUGGGAGCUGGAGAGCAGGUUCAGUGGUGAAGAGCACUGCCUACUCUUUUAGACGACCUGAGUUUGGUUCCUAGAACCUACAUGGUGGCUUGCAAACAUCUGUACCUCUACUUCUUGGGAACCCAACUCUCUUUCCUGGCCCUUGGAUGUAAUGCCAACUCACGAUAAGAAGAAAUACUAUGGUCCAGAGCCUUCUUAACAUCUCGUGCACUUCAAAGACUCUGCAAUUGGCAGUGAUUCUAAUGUUUCCCUAAGCUUGGUCAAGGUGGUUACAGAGAGACAAACGUCCACAAAUUCUCACAGAUGGAAGUUUUCCACUGGCCUAUUUUGGUAUAAAUAUUCAUCAAGGGCUAGAAAAUUAAACUAGAUAUGGGUCUGAGCUAGAAGCAGUUUGGCCUCAAUUUCAACUUUCAGUCACCCCCUCAGGAGGGCAGGAUCUUCUGAGAUGUGACUGCUGUUGUUUGGAGACCAGGGCCAACUGUCUCCCCAGCCUAUGGAAACCCCUGGUUUGUUCUCAGGGGAACUUUGGCUGGAGAAUGGCGGCUGCUGGAUUCACAGGAAGGUCCGGGUUGGUUCCUUGGAAACCAGAACUAUAUCAAGGUGUGGCUCAUCUGUAUCCUGCAGCGAUUGCUUUGGAAGAUAAGCUUGAGGGAAGAUAAUCUGAGUCUGGUUUAGAGUGCCUCUCACUUUAUCUUUCUUUAGGUCUUAAGACGUCUCUUGGGUACCAUCGAGGGCAGACAUCAAGGUGUCUGUCUCCCUCUACUCCUGCAUCUCACUCCUUUACUGGCUCUGGUUUUGGCUCAUCAAUGUAAAGGCCUAUGAGUCAACAGCACAGCCACAUGGGGCCCCAUGGAUGGAAGAGAAGGGAGUGGCCUUUUUUCUCUCUUCCACAUCUGUAUCAACCAUCCACCCCCAUGUUCUAUUUUCCUUCUUCUCCUCCUCUCAGGAAUAACUGUGUCUGUCUAGAGAUGGAGCAAAGCUGCCCUUCCCUUACCCCAUUCGUCCGCAGCUUUCUCUUACUUCCUGCUUGCUCCACCCACCACACUGCCACGCCCUUCCUGUGCGCUUCCAUAACAGGGAGCGCGCCGAGCGGAAUGAGGCCAGGCAGAGGAUUUCCGUGCAAACAGGAUAUUGUGGUGCAGGAAAUAAAGCAUGCAAGACAACAAUGGCAGAUGUCCCUGGACCACUCUGAAGGCCUCAUGGAAGAUGGGUGAAUGGAGAAGAAGGCCCUCUCUGCAAGUAGGGGUGUGCGCAAGAGAGUUCCGUUUGGAGAACCAGUGGCAGAUCAUUCAGAGGAGGCUGGAUACUGCCAGGUACAUGACUGAAGAGGGACCAUCAGAGAAAUGGUAAUUCUGGACUAAUAAUAGAAGGGAGCUUUCAAAGCUCCAGCAGCAGCUCCUUGAGACAGACUUCUUCUUUAACGUAGCAUCCACCAGGCUGUUACAAGAACGUAGCCUUCAGCCCCACUGUCCCCUGAUCAUCUGUUCACAGACCCAUCUUCCUUAUUCUUAAAUACUGUCUCUUCAAACCUUUAGCAGAACUUCCAAGUAAAAUUUAUACAGCGCUUCCCCACGUUGUUGCCUGGGUGCAUGGUAUACGUGCCCGUGUGUGCCCAUGUGUUUGCCACGGUGUCCAUGUGGAUGUCAGGGGGGCAGCCUUGUGCAUUGAUCUUCACCUUUCACUUUGUUUGAGACAGAGCCUCCUGCUGUUCACUGCUGCAUUUGCUAGACUAGCAACACCCACCUUCCAAAAGGAUCACAGUGAUUGCAGAUGUGCCUGGCUUUCGAGUUUAAAAAUAUUCAAAAAUCUCAAGUAUUCACUUGAUUACUUUAUAUGUGUAUUCCUUAGGACCACUAUCAGAUAAAAUACAGAAACCCUGCAUUCCAUGAAGUUCCCAUGUGCUCCUUUCUUGGCAAUAACCACGUUUUAGAAAGAUAGCUACUAGUCUGUCUUCUAUCUUUGUAGACUUCUUUCCACUCUGUUCAGAACAUUAUACAGGAGAAAUUCUAUGGUAUUUUAUAAUUUUGCUUCUUCAUUUCUCUAUUCAAAAUGUUUAAGAUGACCCAGGUUUUGCAUACAUUAAAUUAAAAAAAAACUGCUUAGCUUCUGUU